UUAUUGGAGAGUUUGAUCCUGGCUCAGGAUGAACGCUGGCGGCGUGCCUAAUACAUGCAAGUCGAGCGAAUGACGAGGAGCUUGCUCCUCUGAUUUAGCGGCGGACGGGUGAGUAACACGUGGGUAACCUGCCUGUAAGACGGGGAUAACUCCGGGAAACCGGAGCUAAUACCGGAUGAUAACGA
rnacentral:ncRNA from 1 species